rnacentral:rRNA from 2 species
GGGAAAUCUUACCGGGUCCGGACACACUGAGGAUUGACAGGUAUAAUUAUUUAAUAUUCUUCGGAGUAUUUUAUAUGUAAAUAUGCUAGUCCUUUCAUGAUUAUGUGAUAGGUGGUGCAUGGCCGUUCUUAGUUCGUGGAGUGAUCUGUCUGCUUAAUUGCGUUUCACUGAGAGCUUUUUAUUGUUUGCAUAUGGCAAUUUGACCCCCUUUUGCUUCGGCAUAUAGCGUGUGUGUCUUUUUGUUUUUUUGCUCAUACUUUAUAAGCUCUGAAAGCAACGA